GAUGACAAAAAGUUAAACAUCCAAAGCUCCUUUUCUUGAUUUUUGAACUAAACUAGGUCCAUUCCAUCAUGUCCACCAACAACACCACCACCAUUGAAACUGUUUUCUGAUGAAGAAGUUGAAAGUGUGAUCAUACCAUUCAAGUCAGAAACACUAUCUUGCAAUGUCAUUAACAAAUGAGAUGUGCUAAAACUCAUUGAUGGUUUAGCCCUUGGUACAAUUGGUACUUCAGCCUCACCUACUAACAUUUGUACCACCCCCCUCAUUGUUGGCCUAGCUAUAGGGUCAGGAUGUGAACAAGCCAAACCAACUAACAACACUCUUGUCAUUUCUUUUUCAUCAUACUCAAGAUUCAAUUUUGAAUCAACUGCUGAUAGUAAACUCCCAUCUUUGUGUAAUCCCCACACCCAUUCAACCAAAUUGCUGUUUAAUCCAACACCACUUGUUGUUGUUUCUUU
rnacentral:misc_RNA from 1 species